GUUCGGAGGCCCAUAAAAGGGCCUCAGAACAGAUUCAUGCACAUCCCUUCCAGGAAGACCCUGAAGAAGCAGCAUGCUGAGAGCUGCUGGGGAGAUGGGAAGGCUGCAGCCUGUGGGUCAUCUUAAAUUCAAGGUCAUCUUCAAUUCAGCUGAAGUGCAAGGCUUCGUUCCCAUAAACCGCAAAGCCCAAAACGCCAAGGAAGAACAUUCGAACUGAGCCAAAGAAGAGCGUGUGGAAUUGACCAAUCACUGUUGGAGGCCUAAGCUGUCAGAAUUGUAUGGAGAUCCAGUAGAAAAGAAUGAAAAACACAUGAAAACAAUCUUCUUAUUCAAAAUGAAUCUUGAUUUAGAGGUUCGACUCCCAAGCAAAUCCAAGACGUCUUUUCUUCACGUCCUAGCAGGCAGCAGAAGUGUCCAGUCCCGCUUUCCUAUCCGCGACGAGGCUGCUCGGCUGCCUGUUUAAGCAACUAUACAUAGCGGAAGAAGCAACUGUAAAGCCUGGAAGGAGAACGGGGGAGACGGAAGAUACGCACCAGCCGCAGCCCCGGCGUGGCGUUGUUGGGGUGCCCCAUUCAGCCGCCUGCCUGUCGCUCCGCUGUGAACGUCCAGGGAGACGAGUUGCAACCAUCCUGGCAGAGAAAUGCUCUCCUGCCAGACUGAAGAGCUUCACGCGCUGCUAUCCCCCGCCCAGGCAACACACAGAGCGAGAGGCAGGGAAGUAAAGAGGCAACCCUGGCAGAAAUGCACUCAUCAUGACCCCGCAGCCCAGCACGUGGCCUUUGCUCUCAGACUUGACGAUCCAUUGCAGUUCAGGGUCAAGCUCAUUGUAACAUUUGAUAGGCCCAAGAGUGUAUGUAUAGAAAACGUAAGGAAAGUGCACCCUUCACCACUUUUAACAUCACCAUAGGAAAACUCAGUAUGAUAAUGAAUUUUGGAUGUUCUCUGUGUUGCUAUGUAUUUUGCUCAGGGGACGGAGGAAGUAGUAAGCCAGUGUGGUACAUUGCUUACACAGUUGGACUUAAAGAGUUUGGGGCAAGCACCCCGCCCCCCACAGAUUAAUUGCUGGGCCUUGGGCAAGUCACUCUUUCCCAGCUUGAAUUCCAGAUCAAGAAAAUAUGAAUUAAAAUGACCAUCCCAGUAAUGUGGCUGUGAAGAGAUUGCCACACACUUGGCAAAAUUAAAAGCAUGUAUAUUAUACUACUUCAUAGCAAUGCUUUUCCGAGUGAUUAAUUACAGCACUUAGUAACAGCAAUAAAACAAAAACAUAGCAAAGUAAUGAGUUAUAAAAUGCCAAUGACAUAAAGGCAAUCAUUAUGUUUAGUAUUGUUUUAAUCGUUUAAGUCUUCACCAUGAGGAUCUAUGAAAUGAAAGUGCAUUGCAUGUUAUUGCUGGAGUAAGAAAGAGCACACACGGACGCCACUUUCGGUUUUAUGCUGACUGGGGCGGCA